GCCUCCUUUCUCUCUGUCACUGCGUGUACCCCUGUUCUGUGCUAAUAUGUGUACCCUAUUUUAUGUAACCCCAUUCUGAGUGACUGUGUGUACCUCAUUUAUGUAACCCUAUUCUGAGUGACUGUGUGUACCCCAUUUUAUAUAACUCCUUUCUGAGUGACUGUGUGUACCCCUUUCUGUGUCACUGUGUAUAAUUAUAUUAUGUGUCACUAUGCUACCCCCAUUUUUAGUAAUUGAGAGAACCCCUAUUCAGUAACACUGUGUUACGUCCAUACUGUUUCACUGUUCAUUUUCCCACAUUUUGAGUAGCUGUAUCACUGUUUGUACCCCAGUUCUAAGUUACUGAGUCUACCUUAUUCUUUGUCGCUCUGUCUUUUUGUGAAUUGUAACCCUCUUUGCAGAUCUAUUUUUUUUCUCUUCCAUAUUGUUACUUUGUUUCCCUUUACUUGUUUUCCUACUUCUCUCUCAUAACUCAUUUUCCUCUCUCACAUUCCACCCCUAUUUAUAUUCCCUUCUGUAUCCACUUUCUCCAUUCUCAAUAUUUGGGGUUCCAGAUCUCCCCAGGAAUUAUGUGGAUCCAGUUUGCCCCCCUCAACAUCCCUCUGUCCAGGCGGCUGCAGACAGCUGCAGUUUUCCAAUGGACCUUCUCCUUCUUGGCAAUGGGUGAGUACAGCUUCUCUGCUAGGGACAGAACCCUGCAAGCUUCAUCCUGAUAGAACCCUGCAAGCUUUAUCCUGAUAGAACCCUGCAAACCUCAUCAUGAAAGAACCCUGAAAACGUUAUCCUAAUAGAACCCUGUUAACCUCAUCCUGAUAGAACCCGCAAUCUUCAUCCUGGUAGAACCCUGCAAAGGUCAUCCUGAUAGAACCCUGCAAACUCCAUCCUGAUAGAACCCUGUUAACCUAAUUCUGAUAGAACCCGCAAUCUCCAUCCUGAUAGAACCCGCAAUCUUCAUCCUGAUAGAACCCUGCAAUCUCCAUCCUGAUAGAACCUUGCAAGCUUCAUACUGAUGGAACCCUGCAAACCUCAUCCUGAUAGAGCCCUGCAAGCUUCAUCCUGAUAGAACCCUGCAAGCUUCAUCCUGAUAGAACCCUGCAAGCUUCAUCCUGAUAGAGCCCUGCAAGCUUCAUCCUGAUAGAACCCUGCAAGCUUCAUCCUGAUAGAACCCUGCAAGCUUCAUCCUGAUAGAACCCUGCAAGCUUCAUCCUGAUAGAGCCCUGCAAGCUUCAUCCUGAUAGAACCCUGCAAGCUUCAUCCUGAUAGAACCCUGCAAGCUUUAUCCUGAUAGAACCCUGCAAACCGCAUCAUGAAAGAACCCUGAAAACUUUAUCCUAAUAGAACCCUGUUAACCUAAUUCUGAUAGAACCCGCAAUCUUCAUCCUGAUAGAACCCGCAAUCUUCAUCCUGAUAGAACCCUGCAAUCUCCAUCCUGAUAGAACCCUGCAAGCUUCAUCCUGAUAGAGCCCUGCAAGCUUCAUCCUGAUAGAACCCUGCAAGCUUCAUCCUGAUAGAACCCUGCGAAAUUCAUACUGAUGGAACCCUGCAAACCUCAUCCUGAUAGAACCUUGCAAGCUUCAUAUCGAUAGAACCCUGCAAUCUCCAUCCUGAUAGAACCCUGCAAGCUUCCUACUGAUGGAACCCUGCAAACCUCAUCCUGAUAGAAUCUUGCAAGCUUCAUAUUGAUAGAACCCUGCAAUCUCCAUCCUGAUAGAGCCCUGCAAGCUUCAUAUUGAUAGAACCCUGCAAACCUCAUCCUGAUAGAACCCUGCAAACCUCAUCCUGAUAGAACCUUGCAAGCUUCAUACUGAUGGAACCCUGCAAACCUCAUCCUGAUAGAACCUUGCAAGCUUCAUACUGAUGGAACCCUGCAAACCUCAUCCUGAUAGAACCCUGCAAGCUUCACCCUGAUAGAACCCUGCAGAGAAUUCCAUUGGACAGAGCCAAUCAGAGCAUUAUGUUGCAAACCCUUUGAUAUAGUCUGCAGAACAUUUCAUUGUAGUAGGUUUUUUAUGAUGGAUUUCUGCAGAGCAUCACACAGCUAAAUAUAACUACCUUUAACUUUGCAGAGCAUUGCUACAUUAGAGGUCCAAUGGUCUUCGUGCCAUUGUUUUCUGCAGAUCUGCACCUGAUCCAUUAACCCCUGCACUGUAACCAUCACUUCUUUAGCCUUCCUGUUUGUAGUUUGCUCUACAAUCAUUGUGUUUGUGCUUUCUAGAUAUGGUUGUAUGUGUUUUGAUACGUACCAUGGCAGAUUGCUUAACAUUGUAACAUAGCUAGUAAAAUACAUUCACAUUUUUUCCCCAUUUGUUUUAGUGAGUACAUUUUACUUACAUGAUUUUAAUGCGUAUACAUGUUUGAUUGAAGUGGAGUUUUAUUGCCUUGCAGUUUUAUGAUCUAUUUAUACACACUGCAGAUAAAUGGGGGAUUUAUUGUGGGGCUCUGUCAUGCACUCAUUCACACUAUACACUACUGUGAGUGUAAUUGCUGUGGAGCUCUGCAAUUCAUUAAUAUACAAUAUAUCUGCUUACAAUCUAUUAGGAUUUGACGAAGGUGGUUAUAUAUAUACAUAGUUAGGUGUCUUGUCCAGAAGGUGAUCUGACUGGGAUUUGAACCUGAGUUUUUCAGUUCUGAGGCAGAUACCAGCUGAUAUAAUUGUGAGUUUUAUUGCUGUCCAGAUCUGAGAUAUACUAUACAGUGGUGUAUCCUGGUUUUGUGCUGCCCUAGGCAGGACAAAACUCAGGCACCCCCCCGCGCCACCCCCACCCGCGCCACCGCCACCCAACCUUCCCCCCUGCUCCGCCUUCUAAAUACACACACAUUCACUGACAGAUACGCAUUCACUAGCUAACAGAAACACACAGUCACUAACAGACACACACUCACACACUCACUAACAGACACACACACUCACAGGCAAACACACACACUAACAGACAUCCACACUAACACUAACAUACACUAACAUUAACAUACACACUAACACUAACAGACACACACACUAACAUACACACUAACAGACACACACUAACAGACACACACUAACAGACAUCCACACACACACACUAACAUGCACACACUAACAGACACAAACACUAACAUACACACACUAACAGACACACUAACAUACACACACUAACAGACAUCCACACACACACACUAACAUAUACACACACUAACACUAACAUAUACACACACACUAACACUAACAUACACACUAACAGACACUAACAUACACACACUAACAGACACACUAACAGACAUCCACACACACACACUAACAUACACACACUAACACUAACAUAAACACUAACAUACAUACACACACACACUAACAGACAUCCACACACACACACACACACACUAACAUACAUACACACACUAGUGGGUUUUUUUUUGGUUUUUUUAUUUAACCCCCCCCCAGCCUCCUUACCUUUGGUAAUGCUGGGGGGGGUUCUUCCUCUCCCUGGGGUCCAGUGGCUGCAGCGCUGGGCGGGCGGGCGGCCGGCGAGGGAGCUCUUCCCCUGAGCGCUCUGCUCAGCUCCCUCGCGCGCCGCCAGCAGAGUGAGGCUGGGAGCCGGAAGAUGACGUCAUCAACCCGGCUCCCAGCCUCACUCUGCUGGCGGCGCGCAAGGGAGCUGAGCAGAGCGCUCAGGGGAAGAGCUCCCUCGCCGCCCGCCCGCCCAGCGCUGCAGCCCAGCAUGUCUGUUAGCCGCGAGGCUAACAAGACAUUUGCCUUGGGCAUUUGGGGGGCGGCGUUUUUUGCCGCCCCCUGAAGAAUGCCGCCCAAGGCAAAUGCCUUGUUUGCCUCGCGGCUAAUACGCCCCUGAUACUAUAUACACACACACACAAAAUGUCCGACAAGUACACAGGACAGUAAAAACAUAGAAGUACUCUUAUGCGGUAUAAUAUCAUUCACUCUAUGUAAGAAACAUGCACAUAUCAUUAGAUAUUUGUUUAAUUAAAGUAAGAAUCACAAAACUUUAUACAUCACAGGAUGAAUCUGCUUAAAGGGGCACUAUAGUCACCAGAACAACUACAGCUCUGGUGAGUAGAAUCAUUACCUGCAGGCUUUUUGCUGUAAAGACUGUCGUUUCAGAGAAAAUGCAGUGUUUACAUUACAGCCUUGAGACACAUCCAAUGGCCACUCAUCAUAGGGCUGCUAGAGGUGAUUCCUGUGCCAUCUCUAUAAGAAAAUGCUGAUUGGCCAAGUCAGCAUUUGGCCUAACUCCCUCCUUUACAAACUCAGCUAAUAUAAUGCUUUUGCUAUUGGAAAACAUUGGAUUUUCAGAGAUGAUGAUAUCAGUAAAGGAGGGGGCAGUGCCUGUGCUGGAUUCUGGCGAUAGGUACGUUUUAUUAUCUUUUAAGGGAGGUAAAUGGUGGUUUUGACACUAUUGGGUUAGGGGUAUAUUUUUAUGUACCUGACUUAUAGUGUUCCAUUAAAUUGCUAGGAACUUAAUGUGAAAUUUUUAGCUCAGAAUAACGGAAUUGGAAAUAUUAUCUAAGUAAGCAUACAUAUAGACCUGUGAGUAAACCCGGAUAGAUUGGAAAUGCCAAAAGACAAAGAACGACCUCCCACUGAACACGCUCAAGUCAAGUUGACACAAAUGGGAAGAUAUACUCAACAAGUUCUGUAGAUGAUACAUUUAGUGUGACACUUAUUUUCCUUCAGAACAUCUUAAUGAUUGUCAACCUGAUCCUUCUCAAUAUUAUGUUGGAGAUUCUUUCUCAAUGUACUGUGAGAACCUCAGGUUGGAUGAGGUCCAUCAGCAGCUAUAUUAAACCAAAUACUGGAUGUGCCUAUGAAAGCAUAGACUGGGUAGUUGUAGUGUGUUCCUAGUUAAUUAAUGAUUGAAUGGAUAGUGAAUUAUUGAGAAAGAUUCUGGUUUAUUUCAAUAACUGAACAUAAUAAUAAUAUGGACACCUUCUCCUAGCAUUAUCCAAUUAUAGGUCAAGUAGUAGUAAAAUCUAAUGUUAAUCCAGAUGUGGUCAUCCAGAGUUAUUUGCUAAGUAACGAGCUGAGCAAACCGCACAACUCAACAAGUUGACCUUCGAGAAGCUACAAACAUAUGAAGGCUUUCUUCUGUUUCCUAAUUAAACUUCUUUGAGCAUCAAAACAUUUUCCCAUUCUCUGUUUCUCAUUAGCUCAUUGCUGCCUUAUUCUCUACAUUGUCCUGGCAUUCUCCCGAUACUGGUUGUUUGCCCUUCUCUACGGAAUCUGGCUCUAUGUUGACUGGAACACUCCGUCCAAGGGUGGAAGGCGAUCGGAGUGGGUGAGAAGUUGGACGGUAUGGAAAUACUUUGCUGACUAUUUCCCCAUGAAGGUGAGUUGGAGAAAGGCUACCAUACUACAGAGAAAUGAAAAGGUUACUGAGGGCUAGGACCAAGGAUACCCCAUGGUUUGAAUUAAGUCUUGGUAUACUCUAUAUUCAUUGUUUUAAUCAUUACAGAUAGAUGUUUCAAUACAGUUCUAACAUCCUAUCUAAAGCUUGCAGGGCUAUUUCCUAAAAUGAGAAUUCUUAGGAUAUCAACGUGACUUCAAGGUAAAUUUCAAAUUUGAGGUCAACGCAGCCAAGCUGAAAGCAUUGCUGAUUGGUUACUAUGCCUUAACUUCAAAUUUCACUUUGAAUUCCCAGCUAGUCUAACUUUAGUAAACCUUUUGUUAUAUUGCUGUAAGUACCAAGAAAUGACAAUGCUCAUGGACUGAGUGUAUA
rnacentral:lncRNA from 1 species